GACAAAGCAACUUUCAGAAAGGAAGGGAUCAGUCAACCAAGGCACAGAAGGCAAGGUACAGCGCUGUGGGACAGCAGCAGAGGGAGAGCUUAUGUAUCCGAGGGAAGUGACAGAUGAGUGUUGUGGCUAUGAAGCUGCUGGUCGGCAGUUCUGUUUACGGUAAUGAGUAAUCCCAGUGAAACAAAGAAGAGAUUUAUGGGAAUUUUGUUUGCGAUGGUGGGAGUGAGUUCUCUGAUGAAUUGCACAAUCGUCUGAAUACUGGAAAAAGAUGUCAUCGUUUCUCUCUCCAUGGAAUGGCUAAACACAGAACACAUUUUUAAGUUUUCUUUCCCCCCUUGGAAUGGGGUCUUGCUAUAUGACUGAGGCCAGCCUUAUACUUAGUAGCUGGUACUGCAGGCAUGUAUCACCAUCUCUGGAUUAACACAGUUUUUAACUGAACCUGCAUCACUCAGAUUUUCUCUGUCAUUUACGCACAGACCAAAGAAUCUUAAAUUAAGGGUUUGACACCACCUGGGGUCAUGUCACUGAAAGUGGGAGGCUCAUUUAUUAUUUGGUUUCUAAACGCACAACAGCUAAAACUUAAUUCAAAAUCAAUGUGUGAUGAAUCCAAGGUGUCUCUAGCAAUGCCACCCACACUGUCUUGCUUGACUUCACUCUGAAGCCUUGAACUUGAACACAGAAAUGUGAGCUCAGCACUGCACAUGCUCUCGUACCACGCCCUGCCAACGAAGGCUGCAUGGAGCGCCUCAGACCCGAGACAGCUGUGUGCUCCACACUGCAGGGUCUUCACUCUGCGAUGCAACAUCUUCUGCUCUGAUAGAAACAUAAAGGUUUAAUUACAGGAAACAAUGAUGGUUACCAUUUUGCUGCAUGCUGCAGGACGACAGGGCUGGAAAGGAAGGCAGACUUCCUUAAGGCAAGAGUCUGUCUCCAUGCCUAAUAACGACAAGUGAAAGAAGAAUGCUCACCGCAGACUUAUGCAUGUUAAUAUGCAAAUGCUACCAACCCAGAGAAGGGUGCUAUACGGGAAACCGCAUUUCCCAUUAGAAGAAAAAGGAAAAAAAGCAGGAAAUUUUAGAGAAAAGACAGCCCUUCACAACCACUUCUGUUCCUCUAAUCUGGGGGAGCAUAGCAACACAGUCUAAGAAUGGAAUUGUGUGAGGGGAAUUCUGAGUGCUUGUAAGAAGACAAGACAAGAGUCUUGUGGCCUCAGUUUCUUCAAAAGCAUGGAAAUGCUCUUGGACUAUGCUUUUGUGCCCCUUCUAGUUAUAGCAGAUAGGAGUGAGUAACUUCCGACUAUUCAUUACAACUGGCUAUUGUUAUGUGCCAUUGUUACGUGUUAUCGUUUAUGUGCCAUCGCAGCUUGCCCUUGUGAUUGGACACUUUACUCAUGUGACUUCCUGUAUAAACUGUCUGAUGCUCUGAAUAAAGUUGACUCUUGCAUGAGUCUCAUGCCUCA